rnacentral:rRNA from 1 species
UGGGGAAUAUUGCACAAUGGGCGGAAGCCUGAUGCAGCGACGCCGCGUGAGGGAUGACGGCCUUCGGGUUGUAAACCUCUUUCAGUAGGGACGAAGCGUAAGUGACGGUACCUGCAGAAGAAGCACCGGCUAACUACGUGCCAGCAGCCGCGGUAAUACGUAGGGUGCGAGCGUUGUCCGGAAUUACUGGGCGUAAAGGGUACGUAGGCGGGUAAGCAAGUUAGAAGUGAAAUCCUGUAGCUCAACUACAGUAAGCUUUUAAAACUGCUCAUCUUGAGAUAUGGAAGGGAAAGUGGAAUUCCUAGUGUAGCGGUGAAAUGCGCAGAUAUUAGGAGGAAUACCGGUGGCGAAGGCGACUUUCUGGCCAUAAUCUGACGCUGAGGUACGAAAGCGUGGGUAGCAAACAGG